CGGAAGUGAUGAACAUGAUUCUGCCAAAUGAUAUAAAGUGAUAUCAAAAUUUUCCGUUCCAUUUCUGAUCCA